GCAUUGUUGAAGAGUUCCAUACUAAGACGAAACGGCCGUCCAGUAC
rnacentral:hammerhead_ribozyme from 1 species